AACAAUAGUGCAACCCAACAGCCAUCCAUUGCGCAUGAGAUCUUCAUUGACAAAAAUCUUUCAGUCGAGCAGAACAGCAGUGAGAGCUCUGGUAAAAUAUUCUAUCGAUUGUUGUUACCAACAUGUCCGUCGUGUUGUGUUGAGUUGUUCUGCGGCGGUUCAGCGAUUGAGCGAGAAAAAAGUUAAUUUAAAGAGCAAAAGAAGGGAAGAAAAAAAUUCAGAAAAAUUCCAAAUAAAUUGGUAGUGAAUGAAAAAUUGAGUAAAAAAGUUUUAUCGAAUUGGUUGCAAUACAAAAUUAUUGUAUUUUCUGUUUUUAUUUUUGUGUUUUUGUCCUCCACAAUACCAGAGUAUAUUGGCCAAAGUGAUUUUUGUGUUGUUUUUUCCGAAUCGAUUGUUGAAUGACAAACGAUUUGGCUGAAUGAAAUAAUAAAAAAAAAACAGUUGAAUAUGAUAUAAUUAUCAUUGCGGUUUAACGGUAUCGCUCAGAUGGUUUACGUCUGAUAUGAUUGAAGUGUUGUGAUUUUCAUUCAUUCCACGGUGAUUCACUGAAAACGGCGCAAUUGAAUGAAUUGCUACAAAUAAACAGAUACACACAUACAGUCCGAAUAAACAAUAAACAAAACCCGCCCGAAACGGGGGAAAAACUCUCAAAAACGGAAAACCAUUAAAGCUUCGUGCGAGUAAAGUUCAAGUUCGCCGCAACUAAAUAAAACGAAAAUCAACGAUUGCGAUUAAUCUAUGUCGAGAUACAGAAGAAACUGUGCACCAACAAAAAAAGUGUAAAUUAUAUCGACGAGACGAUGUAUGAAAUGAUACAAAUCUUCAUGAAACAAUUCGAUUAUUAUUAAAUGUGAAUACUGAGAAAAUAACAAAAACAGUUUUGAAAGUAUCGUUUUUAUUUCGCAUUGAUUUCUCCAUUCGAGUGGUUGUUUUUUUACCAUUCUUGACGCAAAACAAAACAAAGAACUUUCUAAUACCGAGAAGAAGAAAUUGAAACAGAAGAAUAAAUAAUAAACAUUGAAACUGAUCAUCAUUGUUCACCAGUCGCUGAACGUGUCGAAAUAAUAAAAAAAAAAGAAUCGAAUCUAAAAAACUACAUUGUCGUGUCUUGUGUCUUAAACUGUCAUUCCAUUUCGUUUUUUGUGUGCGUUGAAUUGAUGUUGUGUCUAAGAAAAAUGAAUUGGUGAAACGCGCGUGAGGAUAAUCAGCCAAGGGAAGAAAGAGUCGCCUUUCGAAAAGGAAUACACUCUUUAGAUCUUCCAACCAAAAUACGGAAUCCGUGCGAAUUAUCUAGGAAUUUAUAAUAUUUUCAUCGUGGUGCCAGUGUACGAGUGAGCCGAUCUCACCCAGACAACGCCAAUAUGAUAUCAUUAAAUGGAUCAAGAUGCUAUCGGAAAAGCGUUUUGCUCAUCGUUUGUCUAUUCGUAGCCGGCGCAAGCAGCAUAUGGCAGGAGAAUGUUCGGCCGAAACUUUAUGUCGAAUUAGGUUCAGAGGACAUAAUGAAAUUCCAAGGAAAUGACACAGUCGUUGACUACUUUCGAUUGGUGUUGCGUGAUGGAAACAGUUUAUUGGUGGGCGCAAGAAAUACCGUUUACAAUUUGAGCAUAAGCGAUUUCACCGAACAACGGCGCCUGGUUUGGCAUUCACCCGAAAAUGACGUUAAAAUGUGUGUAAUGAAAGGAAAAGACGAUGAAUCGUGUCAGAAUUACGUUCGGAUAUUGGCACAGCCAUCAAACGAUAAGUUAUUGGUGUGCGGCACAAACUCAUUCCGGCCCAUGUGCCAUUUGUAUCAGAUCAAUGCAACCUCAUAUACACUAGAGACUGAAAAAUCUGGACAAGCGAUUGUACCGUACGAUCCGCAACAUAAUUCAACGUCAGUCUAUGUUGACAAUGAACUGUAUUCGGGAACUGUAGCCGAUUUCAGUGGAAGUGAUCCAAUUAUCUAUCGUGAGCCAUUGCAAACCGAACAAUACGACAGCUUAAGUCUGAAUGCGCCAAACUUUGUUAGUUCAAUUACCAAAGGCGAUUUCGUCUACUUCUUCUUCCGGGAAACUGCUGUGGAGUACAUCAAUUGUGGCAAAGCGGUUUUCUCACGUGUGGCACGUGUUUGCAAAUGGGAUAAGGGCGGACCACAUCGAUUUCGGAAUCGUUGGACAUCUUUUUUGAAAUCUCGCUUGAAUUGCUCCGUACCAGGCGAUUUUCCAUUUUAUUUUAAUGAAAUACAAUCUGCCAGUGGAUUGGUUGAAGGUCGUUACGGUCACGUCAAUUCCAAGCUCAUUUACGGAACAUUCACAACACCAACAAAUUCCAUUGCUGGCUCAGCUGUUUGUGCAUUUUCAUUGCAGGAUAUUGCCGACACUUUCGAGGGUAAUUUCAAGGAACAAAAUGGACUCAACUCAAAUUGGUUGCCAGUUAAUAGCGCACAGGUUCCUGAUCCUCGGCCAGGAUCAUGCCACAAUGACUCACGAACACUGCCCGACGCAACAUUGAAUUUUAUCAAAACACAUUCACUCAUGGACGAAAAUGUGCCGGCAUUCUUCGGUCAACCGAUUUUAAUACGGACAAGCACAAUAUACCGAUUUACGCAAAUUGCUGUUGACCCACAAAUAAAAACACCCGGUGGCAAGACCUACGACGUUAUAUUCAUCGGCACUGAUCAUGGAAAAAUUAUCAAAGCCGUUAAUGCUGAGUCGGCCGAUUCGAACAAAAAAGUCAACUCGGUGGUAAUCGAAGAAUUGGACGUUUUGCCAACCAAUGAACCGAUACGAAACCUGGAAAUUAUUCGAACCACACAAUAUGAGCAACCAAAGGAUGGCAACUAUGAUGAUGGCAGAUUAAUCAUUGUGACGGAUAGCCAAGUGAUGGCCAUCAAACUACAUCGCUGCAACAGCGAAAAGAUAACGAGCUGCAGUGAAUGUUUGGCACUGCAAGAUCCAUACUGUGCAUGGGAUCGACUGGCUGGCAAAUGUCGUUCGCAUGGUGCACCACGUUGGCAUGAGGAGACGCAUUUCUAUCAAAAUGUUGCGACUGGACUGCAUGCCGCUUGCCCGUCUGGCAAGAUGUCAUCGAAAGAUGCAAAUGCCAAUGAAAUCAAAGGUUAUCGCAGUGAUAUGGGCGGAUUGCUGGACUCGCAUCGUUCGAUGAAAGAUUCCAGCGGUGAAGUGAUCAAUAUUAUGCAAGAGAAAAAUUUCGAUGGCACUGGCAAUGGGAAUGGGCCACAAAUUGCCGACAUUGUAACCGCUCAAUAUUCCGUUGAAACGGUUGUUAUGGCCGUAUUGGCCGGCGGCAUUUUUGCACUGCUCGUUGGAUUCAUCACCGGUUACUUCUGCGGCCGACGAUGCCACAAAGACGAAGAUGAUAAUCUACCCUAUCCAGACACCGAAUACGAAUACUUUGAACAACGCCAAAAUAUCAAUCGCAUUCAAGCCGAACCGAAAUUAUUGCCACAAGUUGAAGAGGUCACGUAUGCGGAACCGGUGUUGCUGCAGCCAGCACCAAGCCAGAAUAAAAUCCAUUCACCGAAGAAUACAUUACGAAAACCACCACCACCAAUGCAUCAUCAUGGAGGCGGCCCCAACUCCGAAUCACUAUUUCAAUUCCAACCAGAUGGAUAUAAUACACGCGAUACGUACCGCGGCCGAGACAAUUUCGGUACACUAAGAUCGCAUCAGACUCUGCAAGGCGAUAACUACCGACGUGGCGACGGAUUCUCAACAACACGAAGCGUUAAGAAAGUAUAUCUUUGAGACGCGAGUGGGGCGGCUGACACUAGUCAGGGAUUAAUUAAUCAAAAUAUGGGUUUAAACACAAACACACGAAACAGAAGUCUUGGUCGAAUGAGACGACAGCCGCCCCGGCAUGGUAUUGUAAAUCAACAUCGUUCCGACAGUCCACAUAAUUCGAGCUCUGGUUCAUCGCCAUCGAUGUCACACAGUAGCUCAUCACCAGCACCACCAUCCAGUCCCAGUCCACAAGAAAGUCCCAAAAACUGCAGCUACAUCUAUCGAGAUUGAUUGUCCGCUACUUCAAAGUCAAUGUCAAUGUUACCAUUACGACGAUCCGAUCCGAAUCUUCCAUCAACAUCAACCGCUGCCAUCGAACGUGAGCACAACAUCUACGCAUCACCGUAUAAUCCAGACAACAGCAACCAACAAUCAGCCCAACAGCACAGCAACCGUAAAAAGCAUAUUCAUCGUCGUCAUCGCAAACAUGAAAACGCACAACAACAACAGCAACCGCCACAGUAUCAUCAUCAAAUGGACACCGCAUCAAUGCAAUAUCCGGAUGACGACGAUUUGUUCUUAAGCUCGGGUACAAUUGCAUCCAAUUUGUUAACAUCGUUGAAGCAACCAUCCAAAAUGACAUUCAAUUGGUCGCGUCAAUUCAAUGAAACGCUAGCCACCAUCAGUGGUUUGCUACAGCGAAACUUCCAAGAAAAUCCCUAUCCCGGUUGCAAUGUUUCCGAAGCAUCUGCAUCUACGGCAACAUUGGGUAGUUCCACCGCCAUUGAUUCAACGGCUAAAUGCCAAACGGACAAAUGGCAAAAACGGCGUCGCAACAGUCUAACUGGCGAUCCAAGGGAACUAGACAUGCUUGUACUGGAACCCGUUAACGGUGAUGACAGUGAUGGCUUUUAAAAACUUGAAAAAAACGGUUCGAUUCGUCGGUUUUGUCACACAGUUCUUCUUCUACUCUUCAAUUGUCUCUAUCUUUCUCUAUAUCUGCAUCACUACACACACUCACACGAACAGAAAUCUAUUUACUCUCCCACAAAAUCUAGAAAUCAUGACUUUACAACAAAAAUAAAGUAUUGAUUUGUAUUUUGAAAUGAAAGCAAAGCGUAGGAAAAGCUAAACAAAAAAAAUGACAAUUAAUCAUUAAAA